CCUCAAACAAAUUUUUUCAACAAAGGGGUAACGGUUUUCAGCAACACACCGAUAAAUCUCAGUUUUUGCAAGGCCCUAACAGUAUAGGUCAGGGUGUAGCUGGAAAACCCUCAGUUACAGANNNNNNGAUAUUGGGCAGCAGCCUCAGCAGCAGCAGCAGCAACAGCAACAACAACAACAACAAGGGCAACAGUUGCAACAGCAAGCCCCUCAGGCCCAGGCACAAAAUCUUCCUAAUGGUCAGCCAGUUCAGGCAAACAGAACUGCAACAUCUUUGCCUCAAGGAAUAUCUAGGUGUGUU
rnacentral:misc_RNA from 1 species